CCGGGAAGACCAAAAAGGGGGGGUCUUGCCCGGCCUUCAAACAUUGACUGCAUGAAUCAUUUUCCACUAGUCUUUUGAUACAGUACAUGGUUUUCAGUGGAACACAGGCUUUGAACGUUGUUUAAAGUAUUUGUUUUGAAAACAUACAGCAAUAUUCUUUUUGCUCACAUAUUUCUCUGUAUAUUCUUUCAUUCCCGUCGAGAUGACGCUUUUGUCUCCUUGUCUGCACAUCCUGCCCCACCUGCACUUUGGGCUUAAAGACAAGGUGGGGACCAACAUGGUGGAGUACAUUCAUCAAUCCGAGAGGAGUCAACCAAGUCCUCAUAUUCUGUGCCUCGGAGAUGAAUUUAAGACAAGUCAAGCAUGUACACGAGUGAGGGAGGGUGUAAAAUACUUUCAAUAAAUCCAUAUUUAAAUGCAAA